rnacentral:tRNA from 1 species
GCACCCGUAGCUCAACUGGAUAGAGUAUCUGACUACGGAUCAGAAGGUUGCAGGUUCGAAUCUUGCCGGGUGCG